CAGGAAGCUGCGAUCCACCUCUAUGCCCACUGAAUGCACAGGUAAUGACCUGAACAUGGCCUGCGAAUGAGCUCGAGUUACCAUUGAGGAGGCUCCAUCAAGUCCUAUCACUCACAAAUCUAGUCUGAAGAAGAGUGUGACAAUGCAACACACACCAUCUGAAGUAUUUCACUAUACAGACAGUGGAGGGCACGCUGAUGCUACCUAUCUUGGUAAAAGCAGUGCAAUCCUCCAAGCUGCUAAGAAAGACCUGCUGGGAAUCAUCCAGC